rnacentral:lncRNA from 1 species
UAAGUGUUUUGCUUGUGCUCAAAAAUAUUUAUUUUUUCUUCCACAAGCUUGACCAAAUGCCUCAUCUCUGAAAUAAAAGUGCUUUCGGCUUUGGAGAAGUUCGGCAAAUAACAAAUCUGACGCAUUUUAUAAACAGACACAUGUUUAUACAUGCACUAAUAUCCUGUUGGAGCCUAAGUCAUGGUUUCUAAGUAAAUAAUGCAGGAAGAUAAAGAUACAUUUUUUAAUUUGAA